AAACAAAGGCCUUGGCCUUACGCAGAGAAUACAAGUUUUGUUUGGGGAGGAGUUGUUUAUUUUAUGUACUUUUUUCUCUCUUUGUCUUUGUUCUAGACUAGGGAAGGAUUGAAUUGGAUCGCCUAAAGUUUCAGGUCACCAGACUGUGCAGUGCGUAAGAAUCAACUGGGCAUGUAAUACGUAAAGUAGGAGAAAACAUUUUAAAGCCAGGGGGUGGGUUUGGGGAAGACGAGGAGGAGGGAGGAGAGUGGACAUCUAUCUCUGCAGCAUUCGGAGUGUUGGUUUUUUUUCCCCCCCCCAGAGAUUUAGAAAGACAAAGAAUAAAAAUACAAGUGUUGGCAUCUGAGUCAUUAACACCUCAACAACCCAUUUGUCUUUCUGGGAUGCUAAAAAGUGGUACGUGUGAAAUUCUCCAAAUAAGUCAAACUAUUUUUAACUAGUUAAAAAUAAAAGGGGGGGGGGCGCUAGGGGGAGUAAUUAUCCUGGUGCAUCUUCAAAACACUGAUUCUCGGACUGUACCCAUAAAUACAGAACGAGAAUCUAUGGGUAGUAGAGCCAGGGACUUUACAUUUUAGCGGAAUGAACAGGAAUCCACACCCCAUCCAACCCCGUUUGAGAAGCAGUCCCAUCAGGAGCUGCCCCGUCGGGCUCCGCGAGCUUGGCCUCCUCAACCACAGCAAAUUAAGUAAGAAACCAAGCGGAGAGAGUAAUACGACACUCCACCACUUGCAUGGCUUCUUAAAAGUAGUGAAUCAAACAACAGCCCUGAGUGCUGAGAAAGACCUCGCAAGCAACUGGUUUCCCUCCCAGCUCAAAACUGCAAAUCCCCGUCAGUCGGGACGCCUGUGAAAUUUACUCAGGAAGAAAGCCGCUCGCCGUGGACCGUGUAGGCUUCGCCAGCAUUGCACCCAACAGUCCCGAGUGUUCUUACUAGACACGCCGGAUACAAGGCUUAAAAGUCGCCCACAGACAUGACCGCUGCUUGGAUUUUUCUUAAAAGGCCUUAUUUUUAUAAUCCCUUUUGGUUUAUUUCAGAAGUAAAGACUAAGGAGCCUUUUGAAAAAGUUCUUCUUUGUCUGAGCCCUGUGAAUUUCCUUUCUACCCAACCCCCCAACAAGAACUCAUUUCUUUAUUCGAGUAAACAAUCUUUCUUUGGAACGGUGGGGGAAGAGAUCCUGAAGCCCCUCACUGUCCUAUUUUCAUUUGUACCCAAAGUGUUACUCUUAAUCAGUUUAGCAUUAUUCAGAGAGUCCUUGAGAGGACUGCCCCAGCAUUAAACAUUCGUAAUCUGCAAACAAAGAAAAGAUGAAAGUUUCUCUGCGAACAAAAAUGCCGUCGUUGUACAGACAAUAUCCAAGUUCCUGUGGUGGCUAAGUCUAUAAAUUCUAAGGGAGCAGCCUGGAGCUAAAGUUAUGUUAGCAGAUUCAGUUCAUGCUCUUCUUUCCAGCUUAACUCAACUGAGGCAAAAGACCUGAGGAGCAGCAUAGCAUCCACCCGGUGAUGGAAACUGAAACUACCCUUCAAGCAAUAACAAUUGACUGGGCAGAGUUCCCCUGAGUACCACCCAGAGCAGUUUGAGCUCAAACCCUGGCUCACACCUGCACAGAUGGACCACGGAGUGACCUGUGGAAUGACCGACAGUUACCUUUCCCUCAUUAUAAUACUCUAUUAUUAUAUAAUAUUAUAUAAAAUCUCCACCCAAGGAGGGGGGAACACAAGCCUCAUUUACUUAAUAUAUAAUGUAUGUACAGGCAUGUUCCCUUUAGGUGCAUGUGUGACCUUACGCCUGCCUCUACGUGCGAUGAUCAGGCUCCCUCCUAAAUAUUCAUCCUAACCCUAAAUAAAAGGAACCCCAUUCACCCUUGUUUGGGGACUCACGGCUUUGGAAGUUAUUCCCUGUGAUCUCCUUAUUUGCUGCAAAUAAGUUUACUUUGUGCAACAACUCCGCCUGGUGUAGUUCCUAUCUGUGACUUACCAAAGAGGGAACUUGUGUUAGUUCAGUUACAAUACUAUUACAUACCUAACAGAAUGGCCAAAAUUAAAAAGACUGAUAACAUCAUAUGCUAACAAGCAUUUUUGGCAACUAGAUUGCUCAUUCAUUGCCAGUGGGAGUAUAAAAUGACACAACCACUGUAGAAAACUGUUGGGCAAUUUAUUAUAAAGUUGAACCCUAAAUCAGUAAUUCCAUUUCUGUAUGAUUACCCAGGGGAAAUGAACGCGUAUGUACGUAAAGACUUGCACAAGAAUAUUCAUCGCAGCUUAAUUCAAAAUAACCUAAAACUGGAAAUAAACCAAAUAUCCAUUAAUAGAUGAAUGGAUAGACUGAUAGAUUGUGGUAUAUUCAUAGUAUUGGAAUAUUACUUAGCUAUACAAAGAAAUGAACUAUAUGAAUGAAACUCAAAAUCAUUAUGCUGAGUUAAGGAAACUAAACACAAAAGAGUAUGAUUCCAUUUAUGUGAAAUUCUGAAACAAUCGAAACUAUGGUAAAAGACACUAGCUUGGGGGAGGGGGAAGGAUUGACUGUGAAGGCCAUAAAUGAACUCUCUGAGGUAAUGGAAAUAUUUUAUAUCUUAUUUAUUUUUUUAGUUCUAUAUCUUCAUAGGAUAUGGGUAACAAGGGUAUAUAUGCUUAUCAAACUGUAAGACUUAAUAUUUGGGGGUGGCUGACUGGCUCAGUCGGUACAGCAUGCAACUCUUGAUCUCAGGGUCAUGAGUUCAAGCUCACGUUUGGUGUAUAGGUUACUUAAAAAAAUAAUAAAAAUUUAGGUGUGCCUGGGUGGCUCAGUUGGUUAAGCGUCUGCCUUUGGCUCAGGUCCUGAUCCCAGGGUCCUGGGAU